GAGAGAGAACUAGGGAUAAAUUUAUAACAGGCACAGUGGAACGAACCCGCAAAUUUCUCAAACAAAACCAGGACGUACUAAUACUAAACGCCGACAAAGGGAACGUGACUGUAGCCAUAUACAAAAAGGAAUAUCAAGAAAGGAUGUCAAAUAUAUUAACGGAUAUGAUGACAUACCAACGAAUUAACAAAGAUCCCACAACAAGUCUACAAAAGAAAAACAACGAAAUCGUAGAAGAACUAUUCAAACAAAAGAUAAUAUCAGAUAAAGAAAGAAAAUGGUUAAAAACAGAAUUGGCAACAGCUCCAAAAAUUUAUGGGUUACCCAAAAUACAUAAGGAUGGGUACCCACUGAGACCAAUUUGUUCAUCAAUCAAUUCCCCAUCAAUAGAACUGUUCAAAUAUAUAGUAAACGUUUUAAAAAACUUGACAAAAAAUUCUAUUUAUAAUAUUAAAGAUGCUGUGCAAUUUAGGGAUAAGGUUAAAAACUUGACGAUUAAUGAGAACGAAAAGAUGGUCUCCUUCGAUGUAGUCUCACUCUUUCCGAGUAUACCAGUAGAUUUAGGACUAAACAUUAUUGAAGAAAGAUGGGAAGAAAUAAGCCAAUAUACUAAGAUGCCAAAGACCAUGUUCCUGAACAUUUUGAAAUUCUGCAUAAAAGAAAAUAGAUACUUUAAAUAUGAAGAUAAAAUAUACAAACAAAAAGUCGGAUUACCAAUGGAUUCUCCGGCAUCCCCAAUUAUUGCAGAUCUGGUCAUGGAAUCCCUACUUAACGUUUGUUUAAAUUCACUACCAAAGAAACCCAAGAUAUUGACAAAGUACGUAGACGACUUAUUCGCAAUAAUUGAAGAAGAUUCAAUACAAGAAACAUUAAAAAUAUUGAACAGCUUUAACAAAUCCAUAAAUUUACUCUCGAAGAAGAGAAAGAAGGAACAAUACCGUAUUUAGAUGCACUAUUAAUAAGAAAACAUAACAAAAUCCACCUAAACUGGUACCAGAAGCCUACCGCUUCUGGAAGAUUAAUAAAUUACUAUUCAAAACACACAAAACGUACAAUAGUCAACACAGCAAAAAACUUAAUACAUCGAGUACUAAACAUUAGUGACGAACAAUUUCAUGCUGAAAACAAACUCAAAAUCAAAAACAUCCUCACUAGAAACAAUUUUCCAGCACACAUCAUAAACUCAUUAAUAAGAGAAUACAAACCAACAAAACGGACAUCAGAAAACGAAAAACCGAAGAGAAUAUACAGAACGCUGAUAUAUUUGCCCAAUAUCUCAUAAAGAUUGGAAAAAUCUGACAUAUACGACAAAACCAAAUAUACCAUUGCACACAGUUCUAACAACACAACAAAAUCAAUAUUUAGCAAAUUGAAAAGUAAAAUACCAAAAUUGGAAAAACAUAACGUGAUUUACCAAAUUGAAUGUGGUGGUAAUAAUGAGGAAGGCUGUGGAAAAUUAUACGUCGGCACGACGAAAAACAUACUAAAAACUCGAAUGUCAGCACACAAGUCGGACAUAAAAUUAAGAAAUACCAACAUAAUACAAAAAACAGCACUGUCCGAACACUGUAAAAUACACAAUCAUACCCCUAACAUUGACGAUGUAAAAAUACUGCAAACGGAGAAUCAUUACAA
rnacentral:sRNA from 1 species